rnacentral:snoRNA from 1 species
AUGCGUCUCUGACAGACUGGGGCAGUUAACGUCUGCUGCUAAAGUUUCCACCACAGAUGCAAGAAAAAGAAGGUUCUCGUGCUUUCUGUCUGGUUGUGGCAUCUAAGAUUGAAUGCAAGAAUACAGGA